GGGCGCAUAGCUCAGCGGGAGAGCGCUCGCUUCACACGCGAGAGGUCCCUGGUUCGAAGGCGGGUUUGGCUC
rnacentral:tRNA from 1 species